UACGUAGGGGGCUAGCGUUGUCCGGAAUCAUUGGGCGUAAAGAGCUCGUAGGCGGCUUGGCAAGUCGGGUGUGAAAACUCCAGGCUCAACCUGGAGAUGCCACCCGAUACUGCUAUGGCUUGAGUUCGGUAGGGGACCACGGAAUUCCUGGCGUAGCGGUGAAAUGCGCAGAUAUCAGGAGGAACACCGGUGGCGAAGGCGGUGGUCUGGGCCGACACUGACGCUGAGGAGCGAAAGCGUGGGGAGCGAACAGG
rnacentral:rRNA from 1 species